rnacentral:rRNA from 1 species
UACGUAGGGGGCGAGCGUUGUCCGGAUUUAUUGGGCGUAAAGGGCGCGUAGGCGGUCAGCACAAGUCAGUUGUGAAAUCUCCGGGCUUAACUCGGAAAGGUCAACUGAUACUGUGCGACUAGAGUGCGGAAGGGGCAACUGGAAUUCUCGGUGUAGCGGUGAAAUGCGUAGAUAUCGAGAGGAACACCUGCGGCGAAGGCGGGUUGCUGGGCCGACACUGACGCUGAUGCGCGAAAGCCAGGGGAGCGAACGGG